rnacentral:rRNA from 1 species
GGCCGCGGGAAUUCGAUUCAGGCCUAACACAUGCAAGUCGAGUGGGGUUUUCGGACCUAACGGCGGUCGGGUGAGUAAUGCGUAGGAAGCUACCCGAUAGAGGGGGAUUCCAGCUGGAAAUGACUGUUAAUACCGCAUAAUGUUUACGGACCAAAGUGUGGGACCUUCGGGCCACAUGCUAUUGGAUGUGCAUACGUGGGAUUAGAUAGUUGGUGAGGUAAUGGCUCACCAAGGCGACGAUCCCUAGCUGGUUUGAGAGGAUGAUCAGCCACACUGGAUGGGGGACACGGUCCAGACUCCUACGGGAGGCAGCAGUGGGGAAUAUUGGACAAUGGGCGCAAGCAUGAUC